GACGAACGCUGGCGGCGCGCCUAACACAUGCAAGUCGAACGAGCGAGAGAGAGCUUACUUUCUCAAGCGAGUGGCGAACGGGUGAGUAACGCGUGAGGAACCUGCCUCAAAGAGGGGGACAACAGUUGGAAACGACUGCUAAUACCGCAUAAGCGCACAGUACCGCAUGGUACAGUGUGAAAAACUCCGGUGGUAUGAGAUGGACCCGCGUCUGAUUAGCUGGUUGGUGGGGUAACGGCCCACCAAGGCGACGAUCAGUAGCCGGCCUGAGAGGGUGAACGGCCACAUUGGGACUGAGACACGGCCCAA
rnacentral:rRNA from 1 species